CAGUAGCCGCGGUAAUACGAAGGGGGCUAGCGUUGCUCGGAAUCACUGGGCGUAAAGGGUGCGUAGGCGGGUAUUUAAGUCAGGGGUGAAAUCCUGGAGCUCAACUCCAGAACUGCCUUUGAUACUGAAGAUCUUGAGUACGGGAGAGGUGAGUGGAACUGCGAGUGUAGAGGUGAAAUUCGUAGAUAUUCGCAAGAACACCAGUGGCGAAGGCGGCUCACUGGCCCGAUACUGACGCUGAGGCACGAAAGCGUGGGGAGCAAACAGGAUUAGAUACCCCUGUAGUCCCUGUCUCUUAUAA
rnacentral:rRNA from 1 species